GACGAACGCUGGCGGCGUGCUUAACACAUGCAAGUCGAACGGAAAGGCCCUGCUUUUGUGGGGUGCUCGAGUGGCGAACGGGUGAGUAACACGUGAGUAACCUGCCCUUGACUUUGUGAUAACUUCAGGAAACUGGGGCUAAUACCGGAUAGGAGCUCCUGCUGCAUUUUUGUGGUUGGAAAGUUUCGGCGGUUGGGUAUGGACUCGCGGCUUAUCAGCUUGUUGGUGGGGUAGUGGCUUACCAAGGCUUUGACGGGUAGCCGGCCUGAGAGGGUGACCGGACACAUUGGGACUGAGAUACGGCACAGACUCCUACGGGAGGCAGCAGUGGGGAAUAUUGCAAAAUGGGCGGAAGCCUGAUGCAGCAAAGCCGCGUGCGGGAUGACGGCCUUCGGGUUGUAAACCGAUUUCGCCUGUGACGAAGCGUGAGUGACGGUAAUGGGUAAAGAAGCACCGGCUAACUACGUG
rnacentral:rRNA from 1 species